rnacentral:rRNA from 1 species
UUCGGCCUGGUUAUUCAUAACCCUUUGUUGUCCGACUCUGUUGCCUCCGGGGCGACCCUGCCUUCGGGCGGGGGCUCCGGGUGGACACUUCAAACUCUUGCGUAACUUUGCAGUCUGAGUAAACUUAAUUAAUAAAUUAAAACUUUCAACAACGGAUCUCUUGGCUCUCGCAUCGAUGAAGAACGCAGCGAAAUGCGAUACGUAAUGUGAAUUGCAGAAUUCAGUGAAUCAUCGAAUCUUUGAACGCAUAUUGCGCUCUCUGGUAUUCCGGAGAGCAUGCUUGUUUGAGUAUCAGUAAACACCUCAACUCCCUUUUUUCUUUUUUGAAAUGAGGGAGCUGGACUUGAGUGAUCCCAACACUUUUCUUCACUGAAAAGUGGCGGGUCACUUGAAAUGCAGGUGCAGCUGGACUUUUCUCUGAGCUAUAAGCAUAUCUAUUUAGUCUGCCUAAAAAACAGAUUAUUACCUUUGCUGCAGCUAACAUAAAGGAGAUGAGUUCUUGUGCUGACUGAUGCAGGAUUCACAGAGACAGCUUCGCGGCUGACUUUGUAAACUCGAUCUCAAAUCAAGUAAGACUACCCGCUGAACUUAAGCAUAUCAAU